GUCUAUGUCACUAAGAGGUAAUUCACCCUGGUGACACACGACACUCUUCUCCUGUACCUAUUCCCUCCUGAGUCAAAGGAAGAGGCACCUCUCCUCUGUUUCCUCCCUGCUGUGCUCUGGACCCGCUCCCUCCAUCCUCCCUCUGGAUCUCACCUCAUCAAUUACCUCCUCUGGUCCACUCUCUCCAGCAUUUACUGGGUGCCUGCUGACUGCAAGACCUGUGUGGAUGGAGGUGUUGCUGAGAGACCAAGACAAAGAAGCAUGUGUGUAGUUCAGAAGUGGUGCAGUGACAGGGCUCACUGUCAAUAAGGCAAGAGCGUGGUCUCGGAAGGCUUCACAGAGAGGUGCUGCUCUGGGUGUUGGCAGGAGUUAAGAGGAGCUGAUGACUUAGAAACCUAUAAAGAUAUUCUCGGCAGGCACCUAGAGAAAAACUGUUGAUUGUGAAUCACUUAGGGAUGUGGAGACUUUAUUCUGUGGCUUAUCAGUCUUGCCCACAAGUCACUGGUAAGUUGGUCAUUGAUAUCAUGCGAUAGGAUGAAGCCGGGGCGGGGGU
rnacentral:lncRNA from 1 species